rnacentral:rRNA from 1 species
GCAUGCAGUCGAGCGCGAACUGUAGCAAUACAGGGAGAGCGGCGAAAGGGAGAGUAAUACGCAGGUACCUACCCCCGGGCCUGGGAUAGCGGCGGGAAACUGCCGGUAAUACCAGAUGAUGUCUCCGGACCAAAGGUGUGAUUCCACCUGGGGAGGGGCCUACGGCCUAUUAGCUUGUUGGUGGGGUAACGGCUUACCAAGGCAAAGAUGGGUAUGGGGCGUGAGAGCGUGUUCCCACUCACUGGGACUGAGAACUGCCCAGACACCUACGGGUGGCUGCAGUCGAGAAUCUUCGGCAAUGGGCGAAAGCCUGACCGAGCGACACCGCGUGCGGGAUGAAGGCCUUCGGGUUGUAAACCGCUGUCGUAGGGGAGGAAGGGCCUGCGAAGAGCAGGACUUGACCGAUCCUAGGAGGAAGGGCCGGCUAAUCUCGUGCCAGCAGCCGCGGUAAUACGAGAGGCCCAAACGUUAUUCGGAUUUACUGGGCUUAAAGAGUUCGUAGGCGGCUUGGAAAGUGGGGUGUGAAAGCCCUCGGCUCAACCGAGGAAUUGCGCUCCAAACUACCGAGCUUGAGGAGGCUAGAGGUGAGCAGAACAGAUGGUGGAGCGGUGAAAUGCGUUGAUAUCAUCUGGAAUACCGGAGGCGAAGGCGGCUCACUGGGACCUUUCUGACGCUGAGGAACGAAAGCUAGGGGAGCAAACGGGAUUAGAUACCCCGGUAGUCCUAGCCGUAAACGGUGAGCACUGGGACCGA